rnacentral:misc_RNA from 1 species
UCAAACUUGGUCAUUUAGAGGAAGUAAAAGUCGUAACAAGGUUUCCGUAGGUGAACCUGCGGAAGGAUCAUUAUAGAGUAUCUAUAAAGCGGACAUUUACGGUAGUAAAUGUUUGAGUUAAAUGUGCACCAGUAAAUAUAAUAAUAUAUAUUUGGGUGAUAGUGUAGUAUUCAAGGUAGCUAUAGGUAUAUAGCUAUCGGAGAUGCAGCAUCGCACAUUGCCCAAUAUGUAUAUCUCUGUAUAUAACAUCUACAAUAGUUUUUCAGCCUUAAAUUUGAAUGAGAAAUAUAAAACCAUACAUAACUUUUAACAACGGAUCUCUUGGCUCUCGCAUCGAUGAAGAACGCAGC